UACGUAGGGAGCAAGCGUUGUUCGGAUUUACUGGGCGUAAAGGGCGCGUAGGCGGCGCGACAAGUCACUUGUGAAAUCUCCGAGCUUAACUCGGAACGGUCAAGUGAAACUGUCAUGCUAGAGUGCAGAAGGGGCAAUCGGAAUUCUUGGUGUAGCGGUGAAAUGCGUAGAUAUCAAGAGGAACACCUGAGGUGAAGACGGGUUGCUGGGCUGACACUGACGCUGAGGCGCGAAAGCCAGGGGAGCAAACGGG
rnacentral:rRNA from 1 species